GUGCACAAAGACCAAUGUAGAUGAGAACCUCAUCUGUGCUUCAGUCAACCAGUCACACCUUCAAAAAACACUGGAAUCGGACACUUUAUCUGCAGUCCUGUGCAACUUUACCAUUGCUGAAUAUGCCUGUUCUUCUG